rnacentral:tRNA from 1 species
GCCGAAGUGGUGGAAUUGGUAGACACGCUACUUUGAGAAAUUAGCGAGCUUUAUCCUGUAAGAGUUCGAGUCUCUUCUUCGUCA